AUUGAACGCUGGCGGCAUGCCUUACACAUGCAAGUCGAACGGCAGCACGGGUGCUUGCACCUGGUGGCGAGUGGCGAACGGGUGAGUAAUAUAUCGGAACGUACCUUAUCGUGGGGGAUAACGCAGCGAAAGCUGUGCUAAUACCGCAUAAGCCCUAAGGGGGAAAGCAGGGGACCGUAAGGCCUUGCGCGAUUAGAGCGGCCGAUACCUGAUUAGCUAGUUGGUGAGGUAAAGGCUCACCAAGGCAACGAUCAGUAGCUGGUCUGAGAGGACGAUAAGCCACACUGGGACUGAGACACGGCCCAGACUCCUACGGGAGGCAGCAGUGGGGAAUUUUGGACAAUGGGGGCAACCCUGAUCCAGCAAUGCCGCGUGAGUGAAGAAGGCCUUCGGGUUGUAAAGCUCUUUUGUCAGGGAAGAAACAGCAGCUCUAAUACAGUAUGCGAAUGGCGGUACCUGAAGAAUAAGCACCGGCUAACUACGUGCCAGCCGCCGCCGUAA
rnacentral:rRNA from 1 species